rnacentral:hammerhead_ribozyme from 1 species
AUCCACCUGACGAGUCCCAAAUAGGGUGAAAUGCGCGUUAUCCUGGAU